UUUCCGUAGGUGAACCUGCGGAAGGAUCAUUAAAAGAUUUAGCAUCUUCUUCUGACUAUACUUCAUUAACCCCUUCCGAGUACCUUACCCGUUGCCUCCGCGAGGCUGUCCUCACGGCCCUUUGAAGAUUUAUCUUUGGAGAGUCCUUGCGGGAGGUAUACAAUAAACUCUUGCAUUACCAUGUCAUCUGUCUGAAUCUGUUUAAAACAAAUAUUAAAACUUUCAACAACGGAUCUCUUGGUUCCCGCAUCGAUAAGAACGCAGC
rnacentral:misc_RNA from 1 species